rnacentral:rRNA from 1 species
ACACGCAUGACACACUGCAUAUCAAUAAGCGGAGGAAAAGAAACUAACAAGGAUUCCCUUAGUAACGGCGAGUGAAGCGGGAAGAGCUCAAAUUUGAAAUCUUCAAGGUUCUACCUUGACGAAUUGUAGUUUAUAGAAGUGUUUUCUGUUAGUAGAGUGGCAAAAGUUCUUUGGAAUAGGACAUCAUAGAGGGUGAGAAUCCCGUAUUUGGUCAUUCUUUCUAGCUUUGUGAUACACUUUCAACGAGUCGGAUUGUUUGGGAAUGCAGUCCAAAAUGGGUGGUAAAUUUCAUCUAAAGCUAAAUAUUGGCGAGAGACCGAUAGCGAACAAGUACCGUGAGGGAAAGAUGAAAGGAACUUUGAAAAGAGAGUUAAACAGUACGUGAAAUUGUCAAAAGGGAAGCGUUUGACACCAGUGUUGUUUUUCCGAAAAUCAAUUACUAAAUGUUUUGUUUUGAGAGAGUGAUGACUUCAUCGGCUUGCUUCUUCUCUUCACGAAACUUUCUGUAAUGCACUUUUCGGUUAACAAGUCAACAUCAAUUUCUUUUGUUGUAAAAGGGUACGAGGAAGGUGGCUUUCUUUUCGGAGAAAGUGUUUAUAGCCUUGUAGCCUCUGCAAUCGGAGAGAUUGAGGUCUGCAGCGUAGAUCCUUCGGGGUUAGAUACAUUUGUGCUAAGUUAUAGCCUUUUCAUAGACAACAUUGUUGACUAUGAUUAAGUCAUUGUAGCUUACUCGCUUAUGCUAUUUUACCUACGCUUAGGAUGUUGAAGAUAUGCGCGACACG